rnacentral:rRNA from 1 species
ACCUACGGUCAUAUCACCCUGCAAAUUCCAGGGAUUGUCUCACCUUGGAAGCUAAGCCAGGUUGGGCCUGGUUAGUACUUGGAUGGGAGACCAUCUGAGAAUACCAGGUGCUGUAGGCU